rnacentral:lncRNA from 1 species
AAAAAAACAAAACCAACAACAAAAAAAUCAGCCAGCAUAUAGAAAUACAUUUAUAUUAUUCUUAGGCAUCUUUCCUGUGGGUUGCAAAAAUUUGGUUUUGUUUUCUCUACGUGCCUCGGCACUUCUCGUUCCAUCUGGAAGUGGAGAUCAAAGCGCUGCAGUCCCACAAGCAAGCGAGCAAGCAUUUGUCUCUUGAGCUGCACAAGGAAGCACUGGAAGGCUGACAAAGGAUCGUGCUGCUGCAGGGCAGGGGCCAGAGCGCCGCAGAGAUGCGUCGCUCCAGAUUGCUUCAAGGGGCACCGGAUCACGUUUUGGAGCACAAUGUUUAGGGACAGUGUGGGUGUGUGUGACAGAGCACAAGGUAGCAAUAUUUAAGAACCUCUGGUCUCCAGAAAUCUCAUCUAAAGUAGCUCACAAAAGAAAGACUAUGUAAUCUGCAUUUAGAACCUCAUCAGUAAGAAAGUCCAUUAGUCAACACAGAAGAUUAAAA